rnacentral:rRNA from 1 species
CCUACGGGAGGCAGCAGUGGGGAAUAUUGGGCAAUGGGCGAAAGCCUGACCCAGCGACGCCGCGUGAGGGAAGAAGGUCUUCGGAUUGUAAACCUCUGUCCUCAGGGACGAAAAAAAUGACGGUACCUGAGGAGGAAGCCCCGGCUAACUACGUGCCAGCAGCCGCGGUAAU